rnacentral:piRNA from 1 species
UAACAAUUCGAGCGCCUGGCCUACGGCAGG